rfam:Nematostella vectensis strain CH2 x CH6 NEMVEscaffold_504_Cont28946, whole genome shotgun sequence.
GUUGCGGUGGCCGAGUGGUGAAGGCGUUGGACUAGAAAUCCAAUGGGAUCUUCCCUCGCAGGUUCGAAUCCUGCUCGCAACG